AGAGUUUGAUCCUGGCUCAGGAUGAACGCUGGCGGCGUGCUUAACACAUGCAAGUCGAACGAACCUUCGGGUUAGUGGCGGACGUGUGAGUAACGCGUGAGAAUCUGCCCUCAGGAGGGGGAUAACGGCUGGAAACGGCCGCUAAUACCCCAUAUGCCGAGAGGUGAAAUGAAUUUCGCCUGAGGAUGUGCUCGCGUCUGAUUAGCUAGUUGGUGGGGUAAGAGCCUACCAAGGCUUCGAUCAGUAGCUGGUCUGAGAGGAUGAUCAGCCACACUGGGACUGAGACACGGCCCAGACUCCUACGGGAGGCAGCAGUGGGGAAUUUUCCGCAAUGGGCGAAAGCCUGACGGAGCAACGCCGCGUGAGGGAUGAAGGCCUCUGGGCUGUAAACCUCUUUUCUCAAGGAAGAAGAUCUGACGGUACUUGAGGAAUAAGCCACGGCUAAUUCCGUGCCAGCAGCCGCGGUAAUACGGGAGUGGCAAGCGUUAUCCGGAAUUAUUGGGCGUAAAGCGUCCGCAGGCGGCCUUGAAAGUCUGCUGUUAAAGCGUGGAGCUUAACUCCAUUUCAGCAGUGGAAACUACAAGGCUAGAGUGUGGUAGGGGCAGAGGGAAUUCCCGGUGUAGCGGUGAAAUGCGUAGAUAUCGGGAAGAACACCAGUGGCGAAGGCGCUCUGCUGGGCCAUAACUGACGCUCAUGGACGAAAGCCAGGGGAGCGAAAGGGAUUAGAUACCCCUGUAGUCCUGGCCGUAAACGAUGAACACUAGGUGUCGGGGGAAUCGACCCCUCCGGUGUCGUAGCCAACGCGUUAGGUGUUCCGCCUGGGGAGUACGCACGCAAGUGUGAAACUCAAAGGAAUUGACGGGGGCCCGCACAAGCGGUGGAGUAUGUGGUUUAAUUCGAUGCAACGCGAAGAACCUUACCAGGGUUUGACAUCCUGCGAAUCCCUUGGAAACGAGGGAGUGCCUUCGGGAGCGCAGUGACAGGUGGUGCAUGGCUGUCGUCAGCUCGUGUCGUGAGAUGUUGGGUUAAGUCCCGCAACGAGCGCAACCCACGUCUUUAGUUGCCAGCAUUCAGUUGGGCACUCUAGAGAGACCGCCGGUGAUAAACCGGAGGAAGGUGUGGAUGACGUCAAGUCAUCAUGCCCCUUACAUCCUGGGCUACACACGUACUACAAUGCUACGGACAAAGGGCAGCAAACUCGCGAGAGCUAGCAAAUCCCAUAAACCGUGGCUCAGUUCAGAUCGUGGGCUGCAACUCGCCUACGUGAAGGAGGAAUCGCUAGUAAUCGCAGGUCAGCAUACUGCGGUGAAUACGUUCCCGGGCCUUGUACACACCGCCCGUCACACCAUGGAAGUUGGCCACGCCCGAAGUCGUUACUCCAACCCGCAAGGGAGGAGGAUGCCGAAGGUGGGGCUGAUGACU
rnacentral:rRNA from 1 species